rnacentral:ncRNA from 1 species
AAAAAUAAACGAACAUUUAAAAAAUUUUUAAAAAAAGAACCAAAGACUCCUUCAGUAAUGGGCAGUGAACAUGGAAGAGUCCAGUGCUGAAUCCUCACCCAGUGGUGGGACACAAGAAAUGUGGCCAGCAGGAGAGACCCACUCCCCACUCACAGGGGGCCCAAGUCCUUCUGAUCAAGCCCCAGCCUAUAGAUGGUGAGAGGUCAGUAGUAACCCCUAGAGCACUGAGCCUGGGUCUUCCCGGAGUGUGCUGCUUGAGCAUGCUUCCCAAGGUGGGUGGCAAACUCCAUCUAAGGCUAAAUAAUGGCACAAACGUGACAGUCGACAAGUACUAUAAGGGAGAGUUGAAAAGAACUUUGAAGCAGCAAUUCAAGAGAGCCGAAAGUUGUCAUGAGGUGUGACCUCAGAUCAGAUGUGGCAACUCCACACCCUUGACCCUGGG